GAACAGCGGAGGGAUCAUUAGAGAGUUCUCAUAAAACUCCCAAACCCAUGUGAACAUACCUUCUGUUGCCUCGGCAGGCCGCGCCGGCGCCUAACCGCGUAGCACCCUACCCCGUAGGGCCUACCCGGGACGCGCCGGCGGUCCCUGCCGGCGGCCCACGAAACUCUGUUUAGCAUAUUGAAUUCUGAACGUAUAACUAAAUCAGUUAAAACUUUCAACAACGGAUCUCUUGGUUCUGGCAUCGAUGAAGAACGCAGCGAAAUGCGAUAAGUAAUGUGAAUUGCAGAAUUCAGUGAAUCAUCGAAUCUUUGAACGCACAUUGCGCCCAUUAGUAUUCUAGUGGGCAUGCCUGUUCGAGCGUCAUUUCAACCCUCAAGCCCCCGUUGCUUGGUGUUGGGAGCCUACGGGGUCACCCGUAGCUCCUCAAAGUUAGUGGCGGAGUCGGUUCACACUCCAGACGUAGUAGAUCUUCACCUCGCCUGUAGUGCCGGACCGGUCCCCUGCCGUAAAACACCCCUAUUUCUAAAAAGGUUGACCUCGGAUCAGGUAGGAAUACCCGCUGAACUUAAGCAUAUCAAUAAGCGGAGGAAAAGAAACCAACAGGGAUUGCCCUAGUAACGGCGAGUGAAGCGGCAACAGCUCAAAUUUGAAAUCUGGCCCUCGGGUCCGAGUUGUAAUUUGUAGAGGAUGCUUUUGGCGCGGUGCCUUCCGAGUUCCCUGGAACGGGACGCCUUAGAGGGUGAGAGCCCCGUACGGUUGGACACCAAGCCUCUGUAAAGCUCCUUCGACGAGUCGAGUAGUUUGGGAAUGCUGCUCUAAAUGGGAGGUAAAUUUCUUCUAAAGCUAAAUAUUGGCCAGAGACCGAUAGCGCACAAGUAGAGUGAUCGAAAGAUGAAAAGCACUUUGAAAAGAGGGUUAAAUAGCACGUGAAAUUGUUGAAAGGGAAGCGUUUGCGACCAGACCUUUUCCUGGCGGAUCAUCCGGUGUUCUUCACCGGUGCACUUCGCCAGGUCGAGGCCAGCAUCGGUUUCUACGGGGGGAUAAAGGCUCUGGGAACGUAGCUCCUUCGGGAGUGUUAUAGCCCUCUGCAUAAUACCCUCGCGGGGACCGAGGACCGCGCCUCCGGGCAAGGA
rnacentral:rRNA from 1 species